rnacentral:rRNA from 1 species
UACGUAGGGUGCGAGCGUUAAUCGGAAUUACUGGGCGUAAAGCGUGCGCAGGCGGUUCUCCAAGUCCAUUGUGAAAGCCCCGGGCUCAACCUGGGAAUGGCAGUGGAAACUAGGGGACUGGAAUCUGGCAGAGGGGGGUGGAAUGCCGCGUGUAGCAGUGAAAUGCGUAGAGAUGCGGCGGAACACCGAUGGCGAAGGCAGCCCCCUGGGCUGAGAUUGACGCUCAGGCACGAAAGCGUGGGGAGCAAACAGG